GAGUUUGAUCCUGGCUCAGGAUGAACGCUGGCGGCGUGCCUAACACAUGCAAGUCGAACGGAGUUUAUGAGGAAGAAGCUUCGGCGGAAUUCUUAUAAACUUAGUGGCGGACGGGUGAGUAACACGUGGAGAACCUGCCUCUUACCGGGGGACAGCAGUUGGAAACGACUGAUAAUACCGCAUAAGCGCACGAGACCGCAUGGUCCUGUGUGAAAAGAUUUAUCGGUAAGAGAUGGCCCCGCCGUCUGAUUAGCCAGUUGGUC
rnacentral:rRNA from 1 species